rnacentral:rRNA from 1 species
GACGAACGCUGGCGGCGUGCUUAACACAUGCAAGUCGAACGGAAAGGCCCUGCCUUUGUGGGGUGCUCGAGUUGCGAACGGGUGAGUAACACGUGAGUAACCUGUCCCUGACUUUGGGAUAACUUCAGGAAACUGGGGCUAAUACCGGAUAGGAGCUCCUGCUGCAUGGUGGGGGUUGGAAAGUUUCGGCGGUUGGGGUUGGAAUCGCGGCCUAUCAGCUUGUUGGUGGGGUAGUGGCUGACCAAGGCUUUGACGGGUAGCCGGGCUGGGCGGGGGAGCGGCCACGUCAGAACGGGACUGCGGCCCAGACUCGAACGGGAGGCAGCGGAGGGGAGUGCAAUACAGGAGGAGGGGGGCUAGUGUAACAACGCCGCGUGGGGGAAGUGGGGAAUCGGGUAGUGAUGCACAUUCGCCUGACACGAGACGUGAGUGACAGUAAUGGGUGAAGAAGCUCCGGCUAACUACGUG